rnacentral:rRNA from 1 species
UACAGAGGGUGCGAGCGUUGUUCGGAAUCAUUGGGCGUAAAGCGCUUGUAGGCGGCCUGUCAAGUCGCGUGUGAAAUCCCUUGGCUUAACCAAGGAAGUGCGCGCGAAACUGGCGGGCUUGAGUGCCGGAGAGGGUCGCGGAAUUCCCGGUGUAGAGGUGAAAUUCGUAGAUAUCGGGAGGAACACCAGUGGCGAAGGCGGCGACCUGGACCGAGAUUGACGCUGAACGGCGAAAGCUAGGGGAGCAAACGGG